UGCUGGCGGCGAGCUUAACACAUGCAGUCGAGCGAUGAAGUUCCUUCGGGAAUGGAUUAGCGGCGGACGGGUGAGUAACACGUGGGUAACCUGCCUCAUAGAGGGGAAUAGCCUUUCGAAAGGAAGAUUAAUACCGCAUAAGAUUGUAGUGCCGCAUGGCAUAGCAAUUAAAGGAGUAAUCCGCUAUGAGAUGGACCCGCGUCGCAUUAGCUAGUUGGUGAGGUAACGGCUCACCAAGGCGACGAUGCGUAGCCGACCUGAGAGGGUGAUCGGCCACAUUGGGACUGAGACACGGCCCAGACUCCUACGGGAGGCAGCAGUGGGGAAUAUUGCACAAUGGGGGAAACCCUGAUGCAGCAACGCCGCGUGAGUGAUGACGGUCUUCGGAUUGUAAAGCUCUGUCUUCAGGGACAAUAAUGACGGUACCUGAGGAGGAAGCCACGGCUAACUACGUGCCAGCAGCCGCGGUAAUACGUAGGUGGCAAGCGUUGUCCAGAUUUACUG
rnacentral:rRNA from 1 species